UACGUAGGGUGCGAGCGUUGCCCGGAUUUAUUGGGCGUAAAGGGCGCGUAGGCGGCUCUGCACGUCCGUUGUGAAAUCGCCCGGCUCAACUGGGCGGGGUCAGCGGAUACGGCGGAGCUUGAGCAAGCUAGGGGGCAAUGGAAUUCCCGGUGUAGUGGUGGAAUGCGUAGAUAUCGGGAGGAACACCAGUGGCGAAGGCGGUUCUCUGGGCCUUACCUGACGCUGAGGAGCGAAAGCGUGGGGAGCGAACAGG
rnacentral:rRNA from 1 species